rnacentral:rRNA from 1 species
CGCCAGACUCCUACGGGAGGCAGCAGUGGGGGAUAUUGCACAAUGGGGGAAACCCUGAUGCAGCGACGCCGCGUGUGGGAAGACGGUCCUCUGGAUUGUAAACCACUGUCCCCAGGGACGAAGAUGGCGGUACCUGGGGAGGAAGCUCCGGCUAACUACGUGCCAGCAGCCGCGGUAAUACGUAGGGAGCAAGCGUUGUCCGGAAUUACUGGGUGUAAAGGGAGCGUAGGCGGGAAUGCAAGUUGGAAGUGAAAGGUAUGGGCUCAACCCAUGAACUGCUUUCAAAACUGUAUUUCUUGAGUGAAGUAGAGGCAGGCGGAAUUCCUAGUGUAGCGGUGAAAUGCGUAGAUAUUAGGAGGAACACCAGUGGCGAAGGCGGCCUGCUGGGCUUUUACUGACGCUGAGGCUCGAAAGUGUGGGGAGCAAACAGGAUUAGAUACCCCUGUA